GAAAUGGAAGGGUGUUAAUACCAUCUUUUCUUGACGGUACCUUCAAAGGAAGCACCGGCUAACUCCGUGCCAGCAGCCGCGGUAAUACGGAGGGUGCAAGCGUUGAAAAAGGGGAUUGGGCGUAAAGCGCGUGUAGGCGGUCUUUUAAGUCUGAUGUGAAAGCCCCGGGCUCAACCUGGGAAGUGCAUUGGAAACUGGGAGACUUGAAUACGGGAGAGGGCAGUGGAAUUCCUAGUGUAGGAGUGAAAUCCGUAGAUAUUAGGAGGAACACCGGUGGCGAAGGCGGCUGCCUGGACCGAUAUUGACGCUUAGA
rnacentral:rRNA from 1 species